GACAGAGGGUGCAAACGUUGUUCGGAAUUACUGGGCGUAAAGCGCGUGUAGGCGGCCCUGCAAGUCGGGUGUGAAAUCCCACGGCUCAACCGUGGAAGUGCACUCGAAACUGCAGGGCUAGAGUCCUGGAGAGGAAGGUGGAAUGCUUGGUGUAGAGGUGAAAUUCGUAGAUAUCAGGAAGAACACCGAUGGCGAAGGCAGUUCUCUGGGACGGUACUGACGCUGAGACGCGAAAGCGUGGGGAGCGAACAGG
rnacentral:rRNA from 1 species